rnacentral:rRNA from 1 species
AUUGAACGCUGGCGGCAUGCCUUACACAUGCAAGUCGAACGGCAGCACGGGUGCUUGCACCUGGUGGCGAGUGGCGAACGGGUGAGUAAUACAUCGGAACAUGUCCUGUAGUGGGGGAUAGCCCGGCGAAAGCCGGAUUAAUACCGCAUACGAUCUACGGAUGAAAGCGGGGGACCUUCGGGCCUCGCGCUAUAGGAUUGGCCGAUGGCUGAUUAGCUAGUUGGUGGGGUAAAGGCCUACCAAGGCGACGAUCAGUAGCUGGUCUGAGAGGACGACCAGCAAACCUGGACUUGAGCACGGCCCCGACUCCCACGGGAGGGCAGCGGUGGGAAAUUUUGGCAAUUGGGCAAAAGCUUGUUCAAGAAAGCCCGGGGGGGUAAAGAGGGCUUCCGGGUGGUAAAGCACUUUGUUCGGGAAAGAAACCCUUGCCCUUAAUCCGGCCGGGGAUGACGGUACCGGAAGAAUAAGCACCGGCUAACUACGUG